rnacentral:misc_RNA from 1 species
CGUUUCUCCGACAAAAUUUUGUAGCUCCGGCAGAAGAGCAAAGCGAUUUAUCGCCGUCUUUCCUCUCUUUUCGCUACCUCUAAUUUGCAGCUGCUAUGUCUCAGGUUGAUAACAGAAAUUCUUCUGCUGCCAAACGUGCCCGAACUGAUGGUGGCCGUAGGGAAGAUGACUGGACUUGCCCUAGCUGUGGGAAUGUCAACUUCUCCUUCAGAACUACGUGCAAUAUGCGCAACUGUACUCAGUCCAGGCCUGCAGAUCACAACUCAAAAUCUGCAGUUAGGCCCAUGCAUGCUCCACAGAGCUAUUCACCCUCAGCUGCAUAUGUUGGGUCUGGUGCUCCCUCUUCAAUGUAUAUGGGUGUAGCACCAUAUGGUGGUUCUUUGUUCAAUGGACCAUCCAUGCCAGCCUAUGACGUUCCCUUUGCUGGAGGUUCUGCUUAUCAUUACAAUUUUGGGAGCCGCCUUUCUGGGGGGAGCCCGUACCGCCCGGUACAUCUCUCCGCUCCACCUCCUUACACUGGUGGGAUGGGAAAUGGUGGGAUGUAUGGUGUGCCACCACUAAUGGACCGAUAUGGUGUAGCAUUGCCAAUGGCCCCUGCUGCCAUGGCACCGAGGCCAGGAUUUUAUCCUGAUGAUAAUUCUCAAAAGAAAGAUGGAACACGUGAUAAUGACUGGACAUG